GUCCUUAUGGUGUAAUAAAGCAUGUAGGCCUUCCAAGCUUAUGGUCCGUGAGGUGGGGAUA
rnacentral:tRNA from 1 species